rnacentral:rRNA from 1 species
AGACGUGUGCUCUUCCGAUCUUGGAUGCCUAGGCAGAGAGAGGCGAUGAAGGACGUGGUAAGCUGCGAAAAGCCUCGGGGAGCCGCUAAACAGGCUUUGAUCCGGGGGUGUCCGAAUGGGGAAACCCGGCGGAGGUCAUGCUCCGUCAUCGUGCACUGAAUCCAUAGGUGCAUGAAGCGAACGGGGGGAACUGAAACAUCUAAGUACCCCCAGGAAAAGAAAACAAUAGUGAUUCCGUCAGUAGUGGCGAGCGAAAGCGGAACAGCCCAAACCGAGAGGACUACGGUCCUUUCGGGGUUGUGGGACCCCGACGUGGGAUUGAUGAUGGGUAGCUAAACGGUCUGGAAAGUCCGGCCAUAGUGGGUGAUAGCCCCGUAAGCGAAACCUUGAUUCACCCUAGGGGUAUCCCGAGUACCGCGGGACACGUGGAAUCCCGUGGGAAGCUGGGAGGACCAUCUCCCAAGGCUAAAUACUACUCUCUGACCGAUAGUGCACAAGUACCGUGAGGGAAAGGUGAAAAGUACUCCGAUGAGGAGGGUGAAAUAGAACCUGAAACCGUAUGCCUACAAGCAGUGGGAGCACUAUGUAUAUCAAGUGUGACCGCGUGCCUUUUGCAUAAUGAGUCAGCGAGUUACUCUCGGCAGCGAGGUUAAGCUCAUAGAGUGGAGCCGCAGCGAAAGCGAGUCUGAAUAGGGCGUUUGAGUUGCCGGGAGUAGACCCGAAACCGGGUGAUCUAUCCAUGUCCAGGGUGAAAGGAAGGUAACACUUCGUGGAGGCCCGAACCCACUGGCGUUGAAAAGCCAGGGGAUGAGGUGUGGAUAGGAGUGAAAGGCUAAUCAAACUCGGAGAUAGCUGGUUCUCCCCGAAAUAUAUUUAGGUAUAGCCUCGAGAUAGGCUGCCGGAGGUAGAGCACUGAUUGGACUAGGGGGCCUACAAGCCUACCAAACCCAGUCAAACUCCGAAUGCCGGCAAGUCGUUUCUCGGGAGUCAGACGGCGUGAGCUAACUUUCGUCGUCGAAAGGGAAACAACCCAGACCGCCAGCUAAGGCCCCCAAGUAUCAGUUAAGUGUGAAAGGAUGUGGGAGCGCCCAGACAACCAGGAAGUUAGCUUAGAAGCAGCUAUCUUUUAAAGAAAGCGUAAUAGCUCACUGGUCAAGCGAACCUGCGCCGAAAAUAUAACGGGGCUCAAACUGAUCGCCGAAGCUGCGGAAUCAAUAUGAUUGGUAGGGGAGCUUUCCCUGGGCGGUGAAGCUGGAUCGUAAGGGCCAGUGGAGCGCAGGGAAGUGAGGAUGUUGGCAUGAGUAACGAAAAUGCGGGCGAGAAACCCGCACGCCGAAAGUCCAAGGGUUCCCGUGGCCAUGUUAAUCAGCCCGGGGUUAGUCGGCCCCUAAGGCGAGGCCGAAAGGCGUAGUCGAUGGGAAACAGGCUAAUAUUCCUGUACUGAAAGUUGCGCGCGAUGGAGGGACGCAGCAGGAUAGGUCAGCCGGGUGACGGAUAUCCCGGUUUAAGGUCGUAGUCGGUCUGCUUAGGUAAAUCCGGGCAGGCAACGACGAGAGCUGAUGACGAGAGGUUCGCCUCACAAAGUGAUUGAUUCCACACUGCCAAGAAAAGCUUCUAAGUAUAGUAACUUUCAACCGUACCCCAAACCGACACAGGUGGACUGGUAGAGAAUACCAAGGCGCUUGAGUGAUAUCACGUUAAGGAACUCUGCAAAAUAGCUCCGUAUCUUCGGUAGAAGGAGUGCCUCCAGUAUGUGAAUGGGCUUGCCCCAAGAGCAGACAGAGGCCGCAGUGAAAGGGCCCAGGCGACUGUUUAGCAAAAACAUAGCACUCUGCUAAAUCGCAAGAUGACGUAUAGGGUGUGACGCCUGCCCGGUGCCGGAAGGUUAAGAGGAGGAGUCAGCGCAAGCGAAGCUGCGAAUCGAAGCCCCGGUAAACGGCGGCCGUAACUAUAACGGUCCUAAGGUAGCGAAAUUCCUUGUCGGGUAAGUUCCGACCUGCACGAAUGGCGUA